GAUGAAGAACGUAGCGAAAUGCGAUAAGUAAUGUGAAUUGCAGAAUUCAGUGAAUCAUCGAAUCUUUGAACGCACAUUGCGCCCGCUAGUAUUCUAGCGGGCAUGCCUGUUCGAGCGUCAUUUCAACCAUCAAGCCCCAGGCUUGUGUUGGAGCCCUGCGGCCGUCCACAGCCUCCUAAAAUCAGUGGCGGGCUCGCUAUCACACCGAGUGCAGUAGUUUACUCUUCGCUCAGGACGUGUAGCGGGUUCCGGCCGUGAAACCCCCCAAUUUUCAAGGUUGACCUCGGAUCAGGUAGGAAUACCCGCUGAACUUAAGCAUAUCAAUAAGCGGAGGA
rnacentral:misc_RNA from 1 species